rnacentral:rRNA from 1 species
AGGGUCCUACGGGGGGCAGCAGUGGGGGAUAUUGCACAAUGGGGGAAACCCUGAUGCAGCGACGCCGCGUGAGUGAAGAAGUAUUUCGGUAAGUAAAGCUCUAUCAGCGGGGAAGAAAAAUGACGGUACCUGACUAAGAAGCCCCGGCUAACUACGUGCCAGCAGCCGCGGGAAUACGUAGGGGGCAAGCGGUAUCCGGAUUGACUGGGUGUAAAGGGAGCGUAGACGGCUGUGCAAGGCUGAAGUGAAAUGCCG